UGCCGGGGUGGCAGAGCGGACUAAUGCGGCAGGCUCGAGACCUGUUGUUCCUUUGGAACACUUGGGUUCGAAUCCCAACCCCGGCGUC
rnacentral:tRNA from 1 species